GGCAUAAGGCUGGACGCACAAGGGAGAGACUGUGGCCGGCCCUCUCACCUCGCCCCAUCUGGAGCUCAUGAUGCGGAAGUUGUCACUGAAGAGGUUCAGGAGCCUCAGGAACUCCGGGUCCCCGUAGCCAUAGCGGUUCCCGAAGACAAGAACAGAUAACAUUGGAUACAGCAUUAUCCAGUAGUCGCAUGGGGUCAAACGGGGCUCCUGGGGGAUGAACCUCGAUUCGAACCUUACGCUUUAGCGCCGCCGCGCCCUCUCUCGGCCGUUUGCACCUCAUUAGCUGGAGUCUCUAUUAGGUCCCGCCCCCAUUUGCCCGCCUCUACCGUUUACGGGCCCAGCCUGAGGCGUGCAGGCCGGCACGGCCAGCGCCCGGGCCUCACCGUGUCCGCGUGUGAAGCGUUCGAAGACUGCCAUGGACCCGCGGCCGGAGAAGGCAUCCGCCUGUAGCACUAACGCGUCCCGCAGCGCUGCGUAGCCGCACAGCACCACGGCAGGGCGCGGGCCCAGCUGCGCUGUGAACACCGGGCCCCAGCGGCCGGAGAGCUACAGGGAGCCGGUGCUCAGCUGGUGCCCAUCGGGUUUCUCAUCGGAGCCCUCGCCCCCAGCUCUCUCUUCCUUCAGACUCAGGAGUCCUCGUCUCGGGCCCUCAUUCUUCAGGCCCAGGAGUUCAGAUCCCCAGCUCCUUCCUCCCUGAGAUCCAGGAGUCCAGGCCCCCACUUCCUUCUUCCCUUGGGACCUAGAAGUCCAACUUCCCAGCCUCCUGCACCCUCAGAGUCGGGCUUUUGGGCCCUCAGUACUCAGCCUCCCCACCUUGAACCAGGGGAACAGACCCUCUGGUCCCCUCUUCCCACAACCUGAUUUCCUGCUCUGGGCUCCUUCCUUACCACCCAGUGUCCCGACCCCAAGCUGUCCACUCCCUAGUCUCCUUUCCUAGAACUCAGGAGUCCUGAGCACUCAUCCUUCCUGUCCUUCCUCAGGGUCUUAGAGUACAAGCCCUUAGCUGUCUUCAUUCAGGAGGAGUUCUAGUCCCCAGCCCCACCUCCACGGAUCCAAAAUUCCGUUCCCCCAUUCCUGUAGGGAAUGGAGCGCGUGGUCCGUGCCUCCGGACUGCAGCUGCAAGUUCCCUAGCAAUAGGAAUGGCCUGGGCCGGGGAGGUAGGGACCCUCGCAUCUGAGCUCGGCACCCACCCUACCCCCACCGUGCCAGCGCCAGCGCCAGCACCAGAAGCCACAAUAGCAGCGCUGCGAUACCCGUGAUCAUCAUGCCUGCAGUUCUCCACGCCUGGACCUCUAUUUGAUUUCCAAAAGGUCUUGGGUGGAGCAGGGGCGGAGACCCGACAUGGGAGGAGUGGGCGUCUCUGGGCUGCUCAUUCCGUGGAUUCCCCAACCAGACGCCUCCACCCUGCCUCCAGCCCUAGUGGAACUGUGCCCUGGCUUCCCCCCGGCCCCCAGCCCUAGUGGAACUGUGCCCUGGCUCCCCCUGGCUUUUUUUGUGUGUGCCUGCCUCAGCCUGCCCUACUUAGCAACUUUCGUGCACCAGCAUUUUCAUGUCAACACACCUGGCCAGCAGGUGCAGCCUCCUGAGCCCCUAGCACCUUUGAGUCCAAUUUACUCGGCCUGCAGGUGUGUAUUCCUCAAUCUCCGGGCCACCUCUGGGCCCCCUGAAUGCUGUACCCUGGACCUCUGAUUCCUAAAUACACACUGACUGUCAAAUACA